UACGUAGGGUGCGAGCGUUGUCCGGAAUUACUGGGCGUAAAGAGCUCGUAGGUGGUUUGUCGCGUUGUCCGUGAAAACUCACAACUCAAUUGUGGGCGUGCGGGCGAUACGGGCAGACUGGAGUACUGCAGGGGAGACUGGAAUUCCUGGUGUAGCGGUGGAAUGCGCAGAUAUCAGGAGGAACACCGGUGGCGAAGGCGGGUCUCUGGGCCGACACUGACGCUGAGUGCGCGAAAGCCAGGGGAGCAAACGGG
rnacentral:rRNA from 1 species